CCAGUCUUGGGCAAGCAAAUAUCAAAAGGCUCAACCUCUGCCUGUUGCUCUGAAUACCCUGAAUCCCCAGCAGAUACCACAAUCUUGGGAUCCUUUUCUUGUGAAAGCUGGUCAUUAGCACCACCUUGAAAUGACAGGUGAGACUCAUUCUGAUUUUGCAAUGGGAAAGUACUAUUCAAUUUGAGAGAGAAAUCAAGGUGCAUUGCACCAUCCUUUGCUCCCUUUUCCAAGGGAGCGCUAACAAUAUCAGAAUUCAUAGACCUAGAACCUGAAAUAGCUGGCAUCAAUGCAGAAUCGUCCUUGUUAACUGAAUUUGAAGCCACAGAACAAUCUGGUUUUAGCUUAGGAGUAGUUCCAGUCUUGGGCAAGCAAACAUCACAAGGCUCAACCACUGCCUGUUGCUCUGAACACCCUGAAUCCCCAGCAGAUACCACAUUAUUGGGAUCCUUUUCUUGAAAUGACAGGUGAGACUCAUUCUGAUUUUGCAAUGGGACAGUACUAUUCAGUUUGCGAGAGAAAUCAAGGUGCAUUGCACCAUCCUUUGCUCCCUUUUCCAAGGGAGCGCUAACAAUAUCAGACUUCAUAUCCCUAGAACCUGAAAUAGCUGGCAUCAAUGGAGA
rnacentral:lncRNA from 1 species